AUUGAACGCUGACGGCAGGCCUAACACAUGCAAGUCGAGCGGAUGAAGGGAGCUUGCUCCUGGAUUCAGCGGCGGACGGGUGAGUAAUGCCUAGGAAUCUGCCUGGUAGUGGGGAUAACGUCCGGAAACGGGCGCUAAUACCGCAUACGUCCUGAGGGAGAAAGUGGGGGAUCUUCGGACCUCACGCUAUCAGAUGAGCCUAGGUCGGAUUAGCUAGUUGGUGGGGUAAAGGCCUACCAAGGCGACGAUCCGUAACUGGUCUGAGAGGAUGAUCAGUCACACUGGAACUGAGACACGGUCCAGACUCCUACGGGAGGCAGCAGUGGGGAAUAUUGGACAAUGGGCGAAAGCCUGAUCCAGCCAUGCCGCGUGUGUGAAGAAGGUCUUCGGAUUGUAAAGCACUUUAAGUUGGGAGGAAGGGCAGUAAGUUAAUACCUUGCUGUUUUGACGUUACCAACAGAAUAAGCACCGGCUAACUUCGUG
rnacentral:rRNA from 1 species